rnacentral:rRNA from 1 species
CGAACGGGUGAGUAACACGUGAGUAACCUGCCCCCGACUCUGGGAUAACCCCGGGAAAUCGGAGCUAAUACCGGAUAUGAGACGCACAGGCAUCUGUUGCGUCUGGAAAGAAAUUCGGUCGGGGAUGGACUCGCGGCCUAUCAGCUUGUUGGUGGGGUAAUGGCCCACCAAGGCGACGACGGGUAGCCGGCCUGAGAGGGUGAUCGGCCACACUGGAACUGAGACACGGUCCAG